CUGAUAGCCCCAGUGCACCGAAUCUCGGAAAGGAAAGGGGCCGAGUGCAGCAGAGAGGGGAGUGGUGGACCAGCCUUUCUUUGAGCAGCCCUAGGAACUGAAAAGCAUGUCCAGCAUAUGCUAUGAUACAGAGAGGAGCUGCUAACUGCCACACGCCUUUCCCAGGAACUGCGGCCAUCGGGGCACACUCUUGUAGGCUCCAUCUUAACCCAGGGAGACUGUACAUGAGCUAGCCUCUGCAACCUGGGCACCUCCACCCAACAUUUCUUUCUACCAUGGUCACUGAACAGGAAUGGUGGCAUUUGCUGCCUCUGCACAUGGUGGUAACUGGAUCAGCAGAGAGCCCCUCACCAUCCUCCUACAAGGCCUGCACCAUCCUGAAAUAGCCCGAAUGUAUGUAUGGUAUCUUCUGGAACAGAUCAACCCAACACUUGAACAUCUCUGGUAUCUUGUUUAUGCUUGGUAGUUACCAACAAGGCAGGUGGGAUCCACAGAUUCAUUCCUGUGAGGGCCCUGGAUCAACAGCACACAUAUCUUCCGAGGCUGGGGGCUGAGAUCAGCACCCACACAAGCUGCCGCUUGAUGGAUGGCCUUCAUGCAGCUGAUGUCUGCAAUCACAGGCUGGGCCCAGAUCCAGGACCCUAACUCCAGCCUUCUCCUUUUAUAGUAAAAAAAAAAAAAAAAAAAAACGAACCCAGAAAGAUGGUGGCAAGAACUGCACACAU